UACGUAGGGUGCGAGCGUUAAUCGGAAUUACUGGGCGUAAAGCGUGCGCAGGCGGUUUUGUAAGCCAGAUGUGAAAUCCCCCGGGCUUAACCUGGGAAUGGCAUUUGGGACUGCAAGGCUUGAGUGCGGCAGAGGAGACUGGAAUUCCUGGUGUAGCAGUGAAAUGCGUAGAUAUCAGGAAGAACACCAGUGGCGAAGGCGACACGCUGGGCCGUACCUGACACUGAUGCGCGACAGCAGUGGGGAGCAAACG
rnacentral:rRNA from 1 species